rnacentral:tRNA from 1 species
GCCCGGGUGGUGGAAUUGGUAGACACGCUAUCUUGAGGGGGUAGUGACCACAAGUCGUGCGGGUUCGAAUCCCGCCCCGGGCACCA